CCUACGGGUGGCAGCAGUGAGGAAUAUUGGUCAAUGGGCGCAAGGCUGAACCAGCCAAGUCGCGUGAGGGAAGACUGCCCUAUGGGUUGUAAACCUCUUUUGUGGGGGAGGAAGAAAUGCGACGAGUAGCAUGAUGACUGUACCUUAUGAAUAAGCAUCGGCUAACUCCGUGCCAGCAGCCGCGGUAAGACGGAGGAUGCGAGCGUUAUCGGGAUUUCUGGGGGUAAAAGGGUGCGUAGGCGGUUUUUUAAGUUAGUGGGAAAACGUCGGGGCCUAACCUGGAUUUGGCAUUGAUACUGGAAGGCUCGAGUUCAGAAGAGGUAGGUGGAAUACGUGGAGUAGCGGUGAAAUGCUUAGAGA
rnacentral:rRNA from 1 species